AUGACCAGUGUCCUUAUAAAGAGAAGCUCAGACACAGACAUAUGUUUAUAGACAGAUGAGGGCGAAGCUUCUACAAGCCAAGGAACACCAAAGAUUGCCAGGAAACCACCACAGGCUGGGAGGGAGCCGUGGAACAGAUUUCCUUCACAGCCGCAGAGGGAGCCAACCCACUCUCCAAUUUGCAUCAAGCUUUGCUUUCGACAGCUCUUACCAGUUAAAGUGCACGACAGCCGUUGUCCAAGUGGCUUCCAGGGAGCAUCACUUGAUGUGGCCAGAAGAAACCCCACAGCCAGAGCUCACGAAACAGAGCACACGUGUGCGAUGUUGGCCAUGGUGUGCCGCCUCAUGGGAUCAGAAACCUAAACAUCUAAAAAUCCCAGGACGUCUUCAGAUCAGGGAAACCUGAUUUGGCAACAGCCUCCUUUCUGUGGCGCAUUAAUACUUAAAUGGAAAAUAGUCUUCUCUUAGCCAUGGUUAUGUAACACCUGAAAUAGGAGCUCAUUCAUAUUCAUGCACAUCUAUCCUAACAUGGUUCCCCUUUGUCCGUUAAACAACCUGAGAUCUUUUCCUCUUUUAGGGAAAGGAGGAGAUGGAGGUGGAGGAGACAGGAGUGGGAGGAGAGGAAAUCUCAGAUUUUUGAGUUUGAAAAUGAGAACACUGGGAAGUAGAAGAGUCUGGGGAAAUUCAAGUCCUCUCUCCAUGAGGUUUCAAAGAAGCUGAAAUGAAAGAGGAUGUCGUCAUAGCUUGUCUUGACACGUAUCAGAUAAAGCCAGAGCCCACCCCCUGCUUGCAGGCACCUUGCUGAAAUGUCCUGCAGGUCAGUAGGGGGAAUAAUCAGCAAACCUGUCACGGGAGCCAGCUAGUUAACUGCAUAGAUUGUGAUUUUGAUCUGAGAAGAGAUGAAGACUGAAGAGGCAAGAGGUUAAAAUCACUCUGGUCCCUAAGUGUUCCUUAAAUCUAGACUAAGAUAAAGCUGUAGUGAAGAUGGAAGAAAUGAGCCUCCUCUAUCAUUCUGUUAAACAGAAGGCGACAGAGAUCCAAAAGGUGAUGGCUGCAGAAGGGAAAGUGCUAACUUGGUUCCUUUUUGCUGACGGUGUAUUUGUAUUAAUAGUAACCUGGCCAUUCCAGUUAGAGGUUCAUCUCCAAAUAUCAGUGGGGAAACAUCUGGAGCAUGUGGAGCCAUCGCUAGGGCAUCUUUCAUCAGGUAAAUGAGCAAAAUUGUUACGAAGGAAUUUGUGGAAUCCAUCCAGGCUGCUUUAACAAAAUACCCUAGACGGGGUGUGGAGGGAAGGCUUAUAAAUGACGGAAAUAUAUUUCUUGAAGUUCUGGAGGCUGGAAGUCUGAGAUCAAGGUGUCCGCGAAUCCAGAUGUCUGGUGAGGACCUGCUUCCUCAUCCAUAGAUGGCAUCUUCUCCCCGUGUCCUCACAAGGUGGGAGGGCAAGGGAGGGAGGGAGCUGGGAUCUUUUAUAAGGGCACUAAUUCCAUUCCUUGGGCUCCAACUCAUGUCCUAAUCACCUCCCAAAGGUCCCACCUCCCAGUAAAAUCACAUUGAGGGGUAGGAUUUCAAGACACAAAUUUUGGAAGGAUGCAAAUAUUCAGUCCAUAACAGAGUGGAAACACAAGAUAAAAUACUGAAACACACUGAUGCGCAUCAUCCGUCCCCACUUGAUUUUGGGGAAGAUGAUAGAAAAGGGAAUUUGUGGGGUGGCACCUGAGGAGUUUUAGUUCAGGGAAGCAAAUGACUUCUGGACUGAGGAAGGUGGUUCUGCAGAUAUUCUGGAAAAUGGCCUUAAACAGUUAAUCCACUCCUCGGCCCCAUGCUCUUCAAUGAAAAGUGCUGGUACAAAAAUCCUCGGGAGUUCCUUUUCUUCUGGAAAUAUUGGAAAGGCACAAGCUGCAAAAUCUCUUUAUGAUUCUAGUCUAACAUCCCUUGUUUGUUUAGUGAUUCAAAGUCCAAAUGAAAGUCCAAAGCCUCCCCCUUACCACCCCAACCCCUCUUUUAUAAUUCAGAGAACUUUCUUCAGGAAAUUGCUGGUAUAGGUUUUCAAAGGUUUUGUUGCAAUUUGGCCAGGUCCUUCCUAGAAGGGAGUUGUUUCCCUAAAACCUGAGUUUAUCUUUAUAUCCACCUGACAAUCUGCCUUGGCCGGGGCUGUGUGCCACUUAUGCCCAGGACACGUCAACUAAAGCCUCGGUGUCCAUCGACAGAUGAAUGGAUAAAGAAGCUGUGGUCUAUGUACACAAUGGAAUAUUCCUCAGCCAUUGGAAACGACAAAUACCCACCAUUUGCUUCAACGUGGAUGGAACUGGAGGGUAUUAUGCUGAGUGAAGUAAGUCAAUCGGAGAAGGACAAACAUUAUAUGGUCUCAUUCAUUUGGGGAAUAUAAAUAAUAGUGAAAGGGAAUAAAGGGGAAAGGAGAAAAAUGAGUGGGAAAUAU
ensembl:lncRNA